UCUUAUAAUGAGAAGUGGAGGGUACUGGCCUUAUGAAGCUUCGGCAACCAUUGGAUUGAUUUCAAACGGUGCCAAAUCCAGCAGAUGUAUUUAUAGUCUGGGCUAUAAG
rnacentral:ncRNA from 1 species